rnacentral:rRNA from 1 species
UACGUAGGCAGCACGCGUUGUUCGGAGUUACUGGGCGUACAGGGUGUGUAGGCGGUCCCCUAAGUUUGGUGUGAAAUCUCCCGGCUCAACUGGGAGGGUGCGCCGAAAACUGGGGGGCUAGAGUGCGGGAUGGGAAAGUGGAAUUCCUGGUGUAGCGGUGAAAUGCGUAGAUAGCAGGAGGAACACCUGUGGUGUAGACGGCUUUCUGGACCGCAACUGACGCUGAGACACGAAAGCGUGGGUAGCAAACAGG